rnacentral:sRNA from 1 species
UGACUUUGUUCUUUAAAGACAUGUGC